GACGAACGCUGGCGGCGUGCCUAAUACAUGCAAGUAGAACGCUUAAGGAGGAGCUUGCUUCUCCGGAUGAGUUGCGAACGGGUGAGUAACGCGUAGGUAACCUGCCUGGUAGCGGGGGAUAACUAUUGGAAACGAUAGCUAAUACCGCAUAAGAGUAGAUGUUGCAUGACAUUUGCUUAAAAGGUGCAAUUGCAUCACUACCAGAUGGACCUGCGUUGUAUUAGCUAGUUGGUGAGGUAACGGCUCACCAAGGCGACGAUACAUAGCCGACCUGAGAGGGGGGUCGGCCACAACGGGACUGAGACACGGCCCAGACUCCUACGGGAGGCAGCAGUAGGGAAACUUCGGCAAUGGACGGAAGUCUGACCGAGCAACGCCGCGUGAGUGAAGAAGGUUUUCGGAUCGUAAAGCUCUGUUGUAAGAGAAGAAAGAGUGUGAGAGUGGAAAGUUCACACUGUGACGGUAUCUUACCAGAAAGGGACGGCUAACUACGUG
rnacentral:rRNA from 1 species